rnacentral:pre_miRNA from 1 species
UGGAAGACCAGUGAUUUUGUGUUCAGAAAAUUCAAAACACAAGAUUCUGCGUCUUCGAAC